rnacentral:rRNA from 1 species
GAUGAACGCUGGCGGCGUGCUUAACACAUGCAAGUCGAACGAAGCACUUAAGAUUGAUUCUUCGGAUGACGUCUUUUGUGGCUUAGUGGCGGACGGGUGAGUAACGCGUGGGUAACCUGCCUCACACAGGGGGUUAGCAGUUAAAACUGACUGCUAAUACCGCAUAACCCGAUCAGAUCGAAUGAUCCAGACGGAAAAGAUUUAUCGGUGUGAGAUGGACUCGUGGCUGAUUAGCGAGUUGGUCAGGUAACGGCCCACGAAGGCGACGAUCAGUAGCCGGCAUGAGAGGGGGAACGGCCACAAUGGGACUAAGGCACGGCGCAAACUGCUACGGGGGGCAGCGGGGGGGAAUAUUACACAACGGAGUAAACCGUAAUGCAGCGGCGCUGCGGGAGUUAAGCUGUAUUUAGGUAUGUAUAGCGCUAUCAGCAGGGGAGAAAAUGACGGUACCUGACUAAGAAGCCCCGGCUAACUACGUG